UAAAUGGUUUCUCAAAUAUCUUAUUCAUAUUCAUGUUCUGAUAUCUUUGUCUACUAACUCCUCUACUUGUACCUGCAGAAGUAGAUUGAUAAGCGUUAUGGGUUUUAUGGAGUGUCCCAUCGUCUCCUUCUAGCUCUGGAACUUUAAUGUCUUCCGAUCGACAUAGCUCUGCACACUGCUGAGUUAGCUGAUUUGUAGCUAUAGACUUCAGUUUAUCUUCAUUAGUCUUUAGCUUUUCUAUCUCAUUACCCAUACUGUCCACUUUCAUUGAAAGCGUAGUUAGGGUGUUAAGUAUUUUUUCUAG
rnacentral:lncRNA from 1 species